AGCGAACGCUGGCGGCAGGCCUAACACAUGCAAGUCGAACGAACUCUUCGGAGUUAGUGGCGGACGGGUGAGUAACACGUGGGAACGUGCCUUUAGGUUCGGAAUAACUCAGGGAAACUUGUGCUAAUACCGAAUGUGCCCUUCAGGGGAAAGAUUUAUCGCCUUUAGAGCGGCCCGCGUCUGAUUAGCUAGUUGGUGAGGUAAAGGCUCACCAAGGCGACUAUCAGUAGCUGGUCUGAGAGGAUGAUCAGCCACAUUGGGACUGAGACACGGCCCAAACUCCUACGGGAGGCAGCAGUGGGGAAUCUUGCGCAAUGGGCGAAAGCCUGACGCAGCCAUGCCGCGUGAAUGAUGAAGGUCUUAGGAUUGUAAAAUUCUUUCACCGGGGACGAUAAUGACGGUACCCGGAGAAGAAGCCCCGGCUAACUUCGUG
rnacentral:rRNA from 1 species